rnacentral:snRNA from 1 species
GUGCUUGCUUUGGCACCACAUAUGCUAAAAUUGGAAUGAUAAAAUGAUACAGAGAAGAUUAGCAUAACCCCUGUGCAAAAUGUUCCUAAAAUCUAUAAUACACCUGAUUUUC